AGUUAAUAACUUAAUGAAAGUAUUAUGUUUUGAAAGCAUAUUCAAGAGGUUAAAAUCCUCUAUUAACUU
rnacentral:tRNA from 1 species